rnacentral:rRNA from 1 species
AUGAACGCUGGCGGCGUGCCUAAUACAUGCAAGUCGAGCGAACAGACGAGGAGCUUGCUCCUCUGACGUUAGCGGCGGACGGGUGAGUAACACGUGGAUAACCUACCUAUAAGACUGGGAUAACUUCGGGAAGCCGGAGCUAAUACCGGAUAAUAUAUUGAACCGCAUGGUUCAAUAGUGAAAGACGGUUCUGCUGUCACUUAUAGAUGGAUCCGCGCCGCAUUAGCUAGUUGGUAAGGUAACGGCUUACCAAGGCGACGAUGCGUAGCCGACCUGAGAGGGUGAUCGGCCACACUGGAACUGAGACACGGUCCAGACUCCUACGGGAGGCAGCAGUAGGGAAUCUUCCGCAAUGGGCGAAAGCCUGACGGAGCAACGCCGCGUGAGUGAUGAAGGUCUUCGGAUCGUAAAACUCUGUUAUUAGGGAAGAACAAAUGUGUAAGUAACUAUGCACGUCUUGACGGUACCUAAUCAGAAAGCCACGGCUAACUACGUG